CGGGAGCGGAGCAGCCAGGGAUCACACAGCUCUGCACCGCUCAGCUAGGGACCUGCUGACAUCGAUUGUUUUUCCUUGCAAUCCUCAUAACAAAGAACUGAAACUUCAAACUGGACAAAGAAUUUAUUUAUAAGUUAAAAGUGCUUCAAAGUUUGUUUUGUAAAUGUUUAUGAUGUUUUUACUGCUUUUUUAAAAUUGAAACCUUUUAUGGAUAGAUAGAUAUAUUUAAAAAUAUGUUUUGCAAUAUAUAAUAUUUAAUGUAACAAUAUUGUAACAUCGUAUAUAAAAUAUAUUGAAACUAAGAUUUAUAAAUAAAUAUGUAUAAAUAUUAAAUA